rnacentral:rRNA from 1 species
GACGAACGCUGGCGGCGUGCUUAACACAUGCAAGUCGAGCGGAGCGGCGAACGGGUGAGUAACGCGUGAGUAACUGCCCCCCUCUCUGGGAUAACAGUUGGCAACGGCUGCUAAUCCCGGAUAGUUGGGGAUGACUCGCGUCCUAUCCGCUUGUUGGUGGGGUAGGGGCAUACCAAGGCGACGACGGGUAGCCGGCCUGCGCGGGCGACCGGCCACAUUGGGCUGAGGUACGGCCCAAACGCCUACGGGAGGCAUCAGUGGGGAAUAUUGCACAAGGGGGGAAAUCCUGAUGCAGCAACGCCGCGUGCGUGAUGACGGCCUUCGGGUUGUAAACCGCUUUCAGCCAUGACGCGUUAGUGGCAGAAGAAGCACCGGCUAACUACGUGCCAGCAGCCGCGGUAAUUC